GACAGGGGUCUCAAGCGUUAAUCGGAAUCACUGGGCUUAAAGGGUGCGUAGGCGGGCCUGUAAGUGGCCUGUGAAAUCCCCCGGCUCAACCGGGGAACUGCGGGGCAUACUGCGGGUCUUGAGGAAGGUAGGCGCCGAGGGAACAGUAGGUGGAGCGGUGAAAUGCGUAGAUAUCUGCUGGAACGCCGAUGGUGAAGGCGCUCGGCUGGGCCUUUCCUGACGCUGAGGCACGAAAGCGUGGGGAGCAAACAGG
rnacentral:rRNA from 1 species